rnacentral:rRNA from 1 species
GUACCCAGUUCGGAUCGCAGGCUGCAACCCGCCUGCGUGAAGUUGGAAUCGCUAGUAAUCGCGGAUCAGCAUGCCGCGGUGAAUACGUUCCCGGGCCUUGUACACACCGCCCGUCACACCAUGAGAGUCGGGAACACCCGAAGUCCGUAGCCUAACCGCAAGGGGGCGCGGCCGAAGGUGGGUUCGAUAAUUGGGGUGAAGUCGUAACAAGGUAUC